GACGAACGCUGGCGGCGUGCUUAACACAUGCAAGUCGAACGGAAAGGCCCUGCUUGCAGGGUACUCGAGUGGCGAACGGGUGAGUAACACGUGGGUGAUCUGCCCUGCACUUCGGGAUAAGCCUGGGAAACUGGGUCUAAUACCGGAUAGGAGCCAUUUUUAGUGUGAUGGUUGGAAAGUUUUUUCGGUGUAGGAUGAGCUCGCGGCCUAUCAGCUUGUUGGUGGGGUAAUGGCCUACCAAGGCGGCGACGGGUAGCCGGCCUGAGAGGGUGGACGGCCACAUUGGGACUGAGAUACGGCCCAGACUCCUACGGGAGGCAGCAGUGGGGAAUAUUGCACAAGGGGCGCAAGCCUGAUGCAGCGACGCCGCGUGGGGGAGGACGGCCUUCGGGUUGGAAACUCCAUUCGCUAGGGACGAAGCUUUUUGUGACGGUACCUAGAUAAGAAGCACCGGCUAACUACGUG
rnacentral:rRNA from 1 species